AUUGAACGCUGGCGGAAUGCUUUACACAUGCAAGUCGAGCGGCAGCGCGGGGCAACCUGGCGGCGAGCGGCGAACGGGUGAGUAAUACAUCGGAACGUACCCAGUUGUGGGGGAUAGCCCGGCGAAAGCCGGAUUAAUACCGCAUACGACCUGAGGGUGAAAGGGGGGGAUCGCAAGACCUCUCGCAGUUGGAGCGGCCGAUGGCGGAUUAGCUAGUUGGUGAGGUAAAGGCUCACCAAGGCGACGAUCCGUAGCGGGUCUGAGAGGACGACCCGCCACACUGGAACUGAGACACGGUCCAGACUCCUACGGGAGGCAGCAGUGGGGAAUUUUGGACAAUGGGCGCAAGCCUGAUCCAGCAAUGCCGCGUGCAGGAUGAAGGCCUUCGGGUUGUAAACUGCUUUUGUACGGAACGAAACGGCGAGCUCUAAUACAGUUUGCUAAUGACGGUACCGUAAGAAUAAGCACCGGCUAACUACGCGCCAGCAGCCGCGGUAA
rnacentral:rRNA from 1 species